GUGCUCACUUUGGCAGCAUAUAAACUAAAAUAGGAAUGAUAUGGAGAUUGGCAUGGCCUCUGCACAAGGAAAAUAUGCAAAUUUGUGAAAUGUCCCAUUAAAAA
ensembl:snRNA U6 U6 spliceosomal RNA